UGCAGGUGGAUAUGUGCGGGUGCGUGA
rnacentral:piRNA from 1 species